CGGGCCGUCGUAUAAUGGUAGUACGCGUGGCUGGGGGUCAUGCAGCUGGAGUUCGAUUCUCCACGGCCCGACCA
rnacentral:tRNA from 2 species